ensembl:lncRNA
CAGGCCGUGUACCUUCAUCUGCCAGUCACUCAGCGGAUGCCGGCGUGGCCCAGAUGUACAGCUGUAAACAUGCUGGGUCAUGGGGGGCUGGAGUCUAUCCCAACUGACUGAGGGUGAAGGCAGGGGACACCUGGACAGUACCUACCGAUGCCCUGCCUUCUAACCCCAGCAGCGUCGGUGCCCUGAUGAACUGCGGGACCAUCUCAACAAUCUGCACUCCACAGACAUUUCAUUAAACAUCGCCUCGGGGUUUUCACGUAUGGACUGUUGUCGUAGCUCACAGAGGAGCGUGUGGGACUGAAACUGAUUUGUUUCCAGUCCCCAACGGCAGCCCCAGUGCAGGUGUGUAGUGACCUCAGGCUGACACUGGAAUUUUUCUUAAGACAUAUAUGAAAUAUUUGCCCAAAGUGAUAUGAUUGGCUAAUCUGAUGCUUUUGUGAUAGAAUAGAAGAAAAAAAUGUACAAAAGGUCAAAUAAGUUCAAGAUCUUCAUUUUUUAGAGAAACACUAUAAUUAAAUGUAAAAUUAAGAAUAUUUUAAACAAAAUAAUUUACAACCAUACUAAUAAUGUAAUAAAGGUUUUAUUUUCUGUAGUAGAAGAACUGUCCAAAACUGUAGGAUCUGAAAGGUAUAAUAUAUAACAGUUCUGCAAUUAAAAG